UGCCGGUUAAUCUUCCCUUUUGUGACAGAGCCAACGACAUCAUAAUAAUACUUGAUUUAUAAUCCAACCUAUGUCCAGGAGGGGACUCCAGGCAGUUUCCAGCAAAAUAAACACAAUGGCAAACAUUCAAUGCCAAGAACAACAAAUAACGAAUCAAAGUACUGGAGGGAAGAUAAACAACAUACCAUAUUGCAAAUGCCUAUGUCCCUGUGGAGACUGUAGCAGUGGAGACUGUGGCAGUGGAAACUAUGGGGAGACAUGCUGAACCCAUUGCUCUUCAACAACUGAUUACUCUAAUUGGGACUAACCAACAGGAUUGAAACAGGCCCUGCUGCUAAACAAUAGAAGAUAAAAAGGAAAAAUGUCCUUGUGCAAUAGGGUAAGGGUUGUAUGAUAG